GAUCUGCCCUCAGUUCACUCCAAACAAUUUGCACAGCUCUCCGUUUUUUUGUGACGGGAAGCUUUUUGUACAGCGUAGGAGAUGCUGAGCACAUAGGCAAAGCCACGGUCUGCCGCUCAGUACGUAAAGUUUGUCUUGCGCUGAAGUGGUUGUUGUGGAACUUCAUCGUUUUUCCAGGCCAUAAACCCACGAGACGCAUGAAAAUGGAGUUUCACCAACUUGCAGGAUUUCCAAAUGUAAUUGGGGGCAUUGAUGGCACACAAGUGCCCAUACUGGCCCCAUCUAUAAAUGAGGCUGAUUAUGUGAACAGGAAAGGCUAUCACAGUAUAAAUGUUCAGAUGAUAUGUGAUGCUUCCCACAUGAUCACCAAUGUAGAGGCAAAAUGGCCUGGUUCAGUCCACGAUGCAAGGAUGUAUCGUGAAUCCAAUUUGAGCCGUAAAUUUCAAGAGGGGCAAUUCGAUGGGUGGAUCCUAGGAGAUCGAG